rnacentral:rRNA from 1 species
GACGAACGCUGGCGGCGUGCCUAACACAUGCAAGUGGAGCGACGAACCAGGGCUUGCCCUGGGGCAGAGCCGCGGACGGGUGAGUAACACGUGGGUUACCUGCCUCGAUGACCGGGACAACCCGAGGAAACUCGGGCUAAUACCGGAUGUGCCCGCAAGGGGAAAGGAAGCUUCGGCCUCCGCAUCGAGAUGGGCCCGCGGCCCAUUAGCUUGUUGGUGAGGUAACGGCUCACCAAGGCUCCGAUGGGUAGCUGGUCUGAGAGGACGAUCAGCCACACUGGGACUGAGACACGGCCCAGACUCCUACGGGAGGCAGCAGUGGGGAAUCUUGCGCAAUGCGCGAAAGCGUGACGCAGCAACGCCGCGUGGGGGAAGAAGGCUUUCGGGUUGUAAACCCCUUUCAGUUGGGACGAAGCUUCGUCGGUUAAUAGCCGGCAGGAGUGACGGUACCUUCACAAGAAGCACCGGCUAACUACGUGCCAGCAGCCGCGGUAACAC